UGGGGAAUAUUGGACAAUGGGGGCAACCCUGAUCCAGCAAUGCCGCGUGUGUGAAGAAGGUCUUCGGAUUGUAAAGCACUUUCGACGGGGACGAUGAUGACGGUACCCGUAGAAGAAGCCCCGGCUAACUUCGUGCCAGCAGCCGCGGUAAUACGAAGGGGGCUAGCGUUGCUCGGAAUGACUGGGCGUAAAGGGCGUGUAGGCGGUUUACACAGUCAGAUGUGAAAUCCCCGGGCUUAACCUGGGAGCUGCAUUUGAUACGUGUAGACUAGAGUGUGAGAGAGGGUUGUGGAAUUCCCAGUGUAGAGGUGAAAUUCGUAGAUAUUGGGAAGAACACCGGUGGCGAAGGCGGCAACCUGGCUCAUGACUGACGCUGAGGCGCGAAAGCGUGGGGAGCAAACAGGAUUAGAUACCCUGGUAGUCCACGCUGUAAACGAUGUGUGCUAGAUGUUGGGUAACUUUGUUAUUCAGUGUCGCAGUUAACGCUGAUAAGACACCCUGGGGAGUACGGCCGCAAGGUUGAAAC
rnacentral:rRNA from 1 species